AUUGAACGCUGGCGGCAGGCCUAACACAUGCAAGUCGAGCGCUCGGCGGACGGGUGAUGAAUGUAUGUGUACUGCCCGAUAGAGGGGGAUAACUACUGGAAACGCUAGCUCAUACCGCAUCCUAUCGGGUAACCCAUAUGGGAUUAGCUAGUAGGUGAGGGAAUGGCCCACCUAGGCGACCAUCCCUAGCUGGUCUGAAAGGAGGAUCAGCAACACUGGGACUGAGACACGGCCCAGACUCCUACGGAGGCAGCAGUGGGGAAUAUUGGACAAUGGGCGCAAGCCUGAUGCAGCCAUGCCGCGUGUGUGAAGAAGGCCCUAGGAUUGUAAAGUACUUUCAGUUGGGAGGCGUUACCAACAGAAGAAGCACCGGCGAACUCCGUGCCAGCAGCCGCGGUAAUAC
rnacentral:rRNA from 1 species